GACGAACCGUCCAAACGUUAUUCGGAAUCACUGGGCGUAAAGGGCGCGUAGGCGGGAUGGCAAGUCGGUCGUGAAAUCCUUCGGCUCAACCGAAGAACGUCGGCCGAUACUGCCGUUCUUGAGGGAUGCAGAGGAGAUUGGAAUUCCCGGUGUAGCGGUGAAAUGUGUAGAGAUCGGGAGGAACACCGGUGGCGAAGGCGGGUCUCUGGGCAUCUCCUGACGCUGAGGCGCGAAAGCGUGGGGAGCAAACGGG
rnacentral:rRNA from 1 species